CGGGAAAUAGCUCAGCUUGGUAGAGCGCUUGGUUUGGGACCAAGAUGUCGCAGGUUCGAAUCCUGUUUUCCCGA
rnacentral:tRNA from 1 species